GGAAAGCUGGAAGAGGAAAGGCAAAGCGAGAGGGAUAAAAAGGGCGGUUUUGGGGGGCGGCUGUGGAUCGCCUUAAAAGCCGUCUCCUUUUUCCGCUAUACCCUAAAUUUCUCCAUUUCUUCAAUCUCUACUUGUAAUUUUCUCUCUAAUUUUCUCAUUUUUGCUUGUUUGGUUGCCGAGAAAAGGUACGGGCUUCAACUCCUUGACUUGUUGGAGCGUCAAUGGCUUCGAAGCGUAUUUUGAAGGAACUGAAGGAUUUGCAGAAAGAUCCUCCUACUUCAUGCAGUGCUGGACCUGUAGCUGAAGACAUGUUCCACUGGCAAGCAACAAUUAUGGGACCCCCUGAUAGCCCAUAUGCAGGAGGUGUAUUCCUAGUUACUAUUCAUUUUCCUCCUGAUUAUCCUUUCAAGCCCCCUAAAGUUGCUUUUAGGACCAAGGUCUUCCACCCAAAUAUCAACAGCAAUGGAAGUAUUUGUCUUGAUAUUCUUAAAGAACAGUGGAGCCCUGCACUUACCAUCUCUAAGGUGCUGCUCUCCAUCUGCUCAUUGCUGACCGAUCCAAAUCCUGACGACCCUCUCGUACCAGAGAUUGCCCACAUGUACAAGACCGACCGAGCCAAGUAUGAAACAACUGCUCGGAGCUGGACACAGAAGUAUGCAAUGGGAUAAUGUACAAGCUCCUUUGUGAAUAUAUAUUAUGUUGCCGUAUGAUGAUGUGUUAAACCAUGGGUUUGUUGGUCUAUUACAGACUUGCGGUAGGAAAAAUUUAUAUAUAUAUGUAUGGGUUCUGUAAUGAACCAUCUUGCCUGCUUUGUGAAACUAUAUUUUGGGGUUUGAAAAGGAAGAAAGAUGUUAGGGAUAUUAUUACUUUGGUAUCAUGUAUUGAUAUUUCAUGGUGAAGGUUUUUUUUUGUGUGACCCGGUAGGUCCAAUAAAAGUUCUCAUGUUUCAUAA